rnacentral:tRNA from 1 species
UCUCUUAUAGUAAAAGGUAUUACUUAAGUCUUGUAAACUUAGAUUUCUAUGAGUUAAAAUAGGUGAGAGAG